GGAUGUGAGGGCGAUCUGGCUGCGACAUCUGUCACCCCAUUGAUCACCAGGGUUGAUUUGGCUGAUCUGGCUGGCUAGGCGGGUGUCCCCUUCCUCCCUCAAUGAUCCAUGUGCGUCCCUCCCAAAGCUGCGCGCUCGGUCGAAGAGGAUGACCACCCCUGAUAGAGGAGGACCAUUCCUUGGUCAAGGGCAUACGAGUAGCUGCGCUCCCCUGCUAGAACCUCCAGAUAUUCUGUGUUCUGUCUGAAUAGAUUGUUCAAAUAGGAAUUACCUGAUACUUAGAGAACUAGAAUACUAAGAGAAAUGGUUUCUUGGAGAAAAUGU
rnacentral:sRNA from 1 species